UAGCUCGAUAAGAAAAUGUAAUAUUCAAACUCGACUAAGAUUGUCUAGAACAAAAACAUUAUUUGAUCGUGAAGAAAUAUGAAACUAAUCAAUUUAUUCCUUACAAUAGUAAGCUGUAUUGUUGCCAGUGUAAUGACUGCUCCAUAUAAUUUUUACAGGUUAGGUAUAUCUAUGCCACUGUUGCCACCAGCAUAUCUAGGACCGUAAUGUCAAACGCUGGUUUAUAAGCCAUGGACCAUAGGAAAUAAUUUAAAUUAUUGUACUCAUAUUGUAUUUAAUAUAAAUAAAUUUGUUGUAAAAAAUGUUGUGAUAAUCCCUGCAAAAUAUAAUUGAAGUAUGUACUUCAAAUUUGUCCAAUUCACAA